UACGUAGGGUGCAAGCGUUAUCCGGAAUUAUUGGGCGUAAAGAGCUCAUAGGCGGUUUGUCGCGUCUGCUGUGAAAACUGGGGGCUCAACCCCCAGCCUGCAGUGGGUACGGGCAGACUAGAGUGCGGUAGGGGAGAUUGGAAUUCCUGGUGUAGCGGUGGAAUGCGCAGAUAUCAGGAGGAACACCGGUGGCGAAGGCGGGUCUCUGGGCCGGUACCGACGCUGAGGAGCGAAAGCGUGGGGAGCGAACAGG
rnacentral:rRNA from 1 species